rnacentral:rRNA from 1 species
GACGAAGGGGGCUAGCGUUGUUCGGAAUUACUGGGCGUAAAGCGCGUGUAGGCGGUUGCCCAAGCCGGGUGUGAAAGCCUUGAGCUCAACUCAAGAAAUGCACUCGGUACUGGGUGACUAGAGGACCGGAGAGGAUAGUGGAAUUCCCAGUGUAGUGGUGAAAUACGUAGAGAUUGGGAAGAACACCAGUGGCGAAGGCGGCCUCCUGGAUCGAUACUGACGCUGAGGCGCGAAAGCGUGGGGAGCAAACAGG